rnacentral:rRNA from 1 species
AUCCUGGCUCAGGAUGAACGCUAGCUACAGGCUUAACACAUGCAAGUCGAGGGGCAGCAUGGUCUUAGCUUGCUAAGGCCGAUGGCGACCGGCGCACGGGUGAGUAACACGUAUCCAACCUGCCGUCUACUCUUGGACAGCCUUCUGAAAGGAAGAUUAAUACAAGAUGGCAUCAUGAGUUCACAUGUUCACAUGAUUAAAGGUAAUUCCGGUAGACGAUGGGAGUG